rnacentral:rRNA from 1 species
CGGAGGGUGCGAGCGUUGUCCGGAUUUAUUGGGUUUAAAGGGUGCGUAGGUGGCUGUUUAAGUCAGUGGUGAAAUACGGUUGCUCAACAAUCGAGGUGCCAUUGAUACUGAAUAGCUUGAAAUAAUUGGAGGCUGCCGGAAUGGAUGGUGUAGCGGUGAAAUGCAUAGAUAUCAUCCAGAACACCGAUUGCGAAGGCAGGUGGCUACGAUUUAUUUGACACUGAGGCACGAAAGCAUGGGGAGCAAACAGGAUUAGAUACCCUGGUAGUCCAUGCCGUAAACGAUGAGGACUCGCUGUUGGUGUUCAUGCAUCAGCGGCUUAGGGAAACCGUUAAGUCCUCCACCUGGGGGAGUACGCCGGCAACGGUG